UUAGGCCUUGACAUACUAAGAACUUUCCAGAGAUGGAUUGGUGCCUUCGGGAACUUAGAUACAGGUGCUGCAUGGCCGUCGUCAGCUCGUGUCGUGAGAUGUUGGGUUAAGUCCCGNAACGAGCGCAACCCUUUUCCUUAUUUGCCAGCGGGUCAUGCCGGGAACUUUAAGGAUACUGCCAGUGACAAACUGGAGGAAGGCGGGGACGACGUCAAGUCAUCAUGGCCCUUACGGCCAGGGCUACACACGUGCUACAAUGGUCGGUACAAAGGGUUGCUACCUCGCGAGAGGAUGCUAAUCUCAAAAAGCCGAUCGUAGUCCGGAUCGCAGUCUGCAACUCGACUGCGUGAAGUCGGAAUCGCUAGUAAUCGCGGAUCAGAAUGCCGCGGUGAAUACGUUCCCGGGCCUUGUACACACCGCCCGUCACACCAUGGGAGUUUGUUGCACCAGAAGUAGGUAGUCUAACCGCAAGGAGGACGCUUACCACGGUGUGGCCGAUGACUGGGGUGAAGUCGUAACAAGGUAAGCGUAGAUGA
rnacentral:rRNA from 1 species